rnacentral:miRNA from 1 species
UGCAUUUUUUACUAAUUGUUCAUGCU